rnacentral:tRNA from 1 species
UCCCUCGUGGCUCAGGUGGUAAAGAAUCUGCCUGCAAUGCAGGAAACCCAGGUUCGAUCCCUGGGUUGGGAA